GAGGAGGAAGAGUAUGAUGAGCUAUUUUUUUACUUGUUCCUGCCAUAAUUCCGUACCUACCAGAAGAGAAAAUGCCGUGCACACAUCUCCUCUUCCUGGUGUUAAGAAGUCGUGUCUUUUUUGUAUGGUCUCUAGUGUUGCUUGAGCUAGCAGCCUAGCAUCCUACUGGUUGAAACUAAUAUCAUUAAUGUUACAUGUUUUUGUGAUGCAGCUGUCUGUUGUCUACCUCCAGUGCUGCUACAAAUGAAAACCAAGAUGUCCACUUUGCAUGAUGAAUACAACUGCUGUUUUAAUUGAUCUAGUGCCUUAAGUUAUGAUACUUUCUUGAUAUAAUGUUCAUCGAGAUUUAAACUUCCAAGUUGUUUUCAACUAUUUUUCUGUUCGUUGAGAUUCUUAUGUCGAGAUUUAAACUUCUGGUGUCUGACUUAUGUUGUUGAGAUUCUGUUGUAUAUAAAAUGUGUUUAGCAUGUUCUGCACGUUGCUUGUUCAGUCUUUCUGUAUGUUGAGGGUUUGCUUGAAAGCUUGUAUGUUGUAAGGUGCUCGAUACUGCUUUCAAGAAAAAAUGCUGGAUUUUUUUUCUUGAUUUUCUGAGUUUUCUAAUUCUCAUAUGCCUGGGCUUGUUUAGAAGCAAAUGGGUUGCUGGUAGUAAAUGGUGUCGAACGCCACAUGUGUGGGAUGAGUGCUAGCAGUCAUUUUUCUAUGUAUAUUUCCAGCAAUUUUCUAAUUUCCCUUUGUUUUCUUUCUUUGCUGCCAAACAGCAACGGGUAGGGGGCAGCGGUGCCCAGGGA
rnacentral:lncRNA from 1 species